UACAGAGGUGGCAAGCGUUGUUCGGAAUUACUGGGCGUAAAGGGCGCGUAGGCGGCCUUCUAAGUCAGACGUGAAAUCCCCCGGCUUAACCUGGGAACUGCGUCUGAUACUGGGAGGCUUGAGUAUGGGAGAGGGAUGUAGAAUUCCAGGUGUAGCGGUGAAAUGCGUAGAUAUCUGGAGGAAUACCGGUGGCGAAGGCGGCAUCCUGGCUCUGUACUGACGCUGAGGCGCGAGAGCGUGGGGAGCAAACAGG
rnacentral:rRNA from 1 species